UGUGGGAGUCCACUGCAAUAAUCCAGGAGAGAAAUCAUGUGAGCUUGAGAAGGAAUCAGAUUCUGCAUAUAUUUCCAAGUUAACAUGAACAAGAUUUUCUGAAAGACUGCUAUGGAGUCUGAGAAAAAAUGUCAAAGGUAGUGCCAAAAUUGUCACUUAAAGAACUGCAGGAAUGGAGUUGGCAUUUACAGAAUUUGGAAGAGAAGCAGGUUUAGUGAUAAAGACCAGAAGCACAGAGCUAAGCAUAUUAAAUAUUGAGGACAUGAAGAGGAAAGAACUGACAGAGGAGGUGAAGAAAGGUGAUCAGGAAGAGCCAUCAAAGUGUUAUCCUGGAAUUCAAGUGAAGACAGUGUUUCAAAGUGGAAAUGAACAGUGUCCUGUAACCCUCAGAGUGAGACUAGAGUCAGAAUGCAAGCUUUUCUCAUUUGAAAUCUAUAUGCCACAGAGAGGAUCCAGAGAGCUCAUCUCCGGUCAGUUAUCUGUAUUUGCAUGUCAACUACAGCAUCAAAAAGCAUAGGCAUGGAUACUAAGGACCCCCUCUGUACACCAACGCCAGUCCAAAGGAUAGUGUGUCACUGUGAACUGGAAAUUCAUCUCUCUUCUUCAUUUUUUUUCUACCUACUUUAUGCUUUAUCUCUAAGUUGAGGCUGUUUAUGGCCUCAUCCUCAAUUACCUUGUCCCUC
rnacentral:lncRNA from 1 species